rnacentral:rRNA from 1 species
GAUCAUGGCUCAGAACGAACGCUGGCGGCAGGCCUAACACAUGCAAGUCGAGCGCCCCGCAAGGGGAGCGGCGGACGGGUGAGUAACGCGUGGGAACGUACCCUUUGCUACGGAAUAGCCUCGGGAAACUGGGAGUAAUACCGUAUGUGCCCUUCGGGGGAAAGAUUUAUCGGCAAAGGAUCGGCCCGCGUUGGAUUAGGUAGUUGGUGGGGUAAUGGCCUACCAAGCCGACGAUCCAUAGCUGGUUUGAGAGGAUGAUCAGCCACACUGGGACUGAGACACGGCCCAGACUCCUACGGGAGGCAGCAGUGGGGAAUCUUAGACAAUGGGCGCAAGCCUGAUCUAGCCAUGCCGCGUGAGCGAUGAAGGCCUUAGGGUUGUAAAGCUCUUCAGUGGGGAAGAUAAUGACUGUACCCACAGAAGAAGCCCCGGCUAACUCCGUG